AGAAUGAAGGUGUAGAUGACUUGAAAAGACGUCAAGCACAUGGUCUCCUUAACUACUUUCAUAGUUUUGAUUUUGUGUUUUAUUUGCAAAUGAUGAUACACCUUUUAGGACUCACAGAGAGCUUGUCAAUGGCGCUUCAAAGAAGAGAUCAAGAUAUUUUAAAUGCUAUGUCAUUGGUGAAAUCAACUAAGAGACAACUUCAGAAUUUUAGGGAUGAUGGGUGGAAUUCUCUCAUGAUGAAAGUUUCUUUGUUUUGUGACAAACAUGAGAUUGAAAAGAUUGAGAUGGAGGCAGAUUUUAUUGACUCAAAGAGACGAAGAAAAAGAACAGGAGUAUCAAAUAUGCAUCACUACAAGAUCAAUUGUUUGUAUGCUGUAUUGGAUUUGCAACUUCAGGAAUUUAACGACCGCUUUAAUGAGGUGAACACUGAAUUGCUUAUUUGUGCUGCUUCUUUAUCUCCCAUUGAUGCAUUUUCUCAGUUUGAUCACUCCAAGUUAUUGAGGUUAUCUAAGUUCUACCCAGAUGACUUUAGUUCAGGGGAGUUCAUAUCUCUGGAGCAAGAAUUAGAUAUCUACAUUGAUAAUGUCCGACAUGAUGAAAGAUUUUGUACUUUGAAGAAUUUGGGAGACCUUGCUCGAAUGUUGGUGGAAACACGAAAACAUCUGUCAUGUCCUUUGGUUUAUAGGCUUUUGAAGUUGGUUUUGAUUUUGCCUGUUGCUACUGCAACUGUUGAGAGAUGUUUUUCAGCAAUGAAGAUCGUGAAAACACAUCGACGCAAUCGGAUUGGAGAUGAGUUUUUGAAUGAUUGUUUAGUUUGUUUUGUCGAGAAAGAUGUAUUCGAGACUAUUACAAAUGAGACUGUGAUGAAAAGAUUUCAGGACCUGAAGGAUCGUAGGAUGCUUUUGUAGACGUUUUUUUUUUUGGAUGAACCUUUUGUUGGAUGCUUUUUUUUUUAUUGGGACGAACUUUUUGUUGGAUUUUUUUUGUAUUAAAAAUAAUUUUUUUAAUUAUGUUUUGACCUGGGUAAAAUAAAAUCCUGGGUCCGCCACUGUUACUAUUGGUCCAUUCUCUGUAAUACUUUUUCGAGUUUCCUUUUCUCUAUCUUAUGGUUUUGUUGCUUUCACACAUUAUUAACACAUCCCAAAACAACGUUGAAACUUUUACGACUCAUAAGAAAAAGCAACACAACAUUUAUUAGAUAUCAUCAUCUGUAUUUUCAUAGUCUAAUACAUGUAUAUAAACUUUACUUGUAUUUGAUUGUUAAUACAACUACUAUAUAAAGCUGUUGUAUAGUUACUUUACACAUUAUCGAGAAUAAUAAAGUUUAGAUUUAAUAUGGUAUCAGAGCCAGGUUUUGCAAGCAAGUAAUCCGGUUGUUGCAAGUAUAUCUAAGGCAUAUUUCCUUUGGCAAAUAGAUAUACCUGUGGAGUUUCUUGCUAUCUCAAGACCCAAAAAAUAUUUUGGUGCACCCAUGUCCUUGAUCUUGAAUGCUCUAUGUAAGGAUGCCUUCAGUUUCUGCAACUCAACAUCACAAUUUGAAGCUAUCAUGAUGUCAUCAACAUAGACAAGGAGAGCAAUGAAUGAACAACCCGAGACUUUUACAAAUAAGGUAUUGUCUGCUGGGGAUUGAAUAAAUCCUGCUUGAAGAACCACUGUGGAGAAACAAUGAUACCACUGUCGUGAAGCCUGCUUAAGGCCAUACAGUGACUUCUUUAAACGACAAACUGGAUUCAAAGGCAAAGAAGCACCAUUUGCAGGAGUAUAACCUUGGGGUAAGCUCAUGAAUAUCUCAUCAUCUGUAUUUUUAUAGUCUAAUACAUGUAUAUAAACUUUACUUGUAUUUGAUUGUUAAUACAACUACUAUAUAAAGCUGUUGUAUAGUUACUUUACACAUUAUCGAGAAUAAUAAAGUUUAGAUUUAAUAACAUUCAUCUACCAUAUCCUUAUUAACUUACGAAUAGAAACAUAGUUUCCCCCACCAAUUUUGAAGAGUUGCUGGAUAUUGUUGUGACAUAAGAAGACAUCGUAUUUAGGAAGAAAACAGAGGGUCAAGUGUGAAAAAACAGUGGGAAUUUAGGGUUUUGGGAAAGUGUGGAAAUUGGAGACGUCAGAUGAUCAAGGCAGUUGAUCUUGUGAAGGUCUUAAUUGAAAGUUUACAUGUUAUUUAUGCUGUUAGUUUUUCUAAUGAUCAAUUAAAUGUAGUUUUAAUAGUUUAGUGAAUACUAGUGAUGAACUGAUGAUAUGUCAUGGGAGGAUAAUGCACAAAGUGGUGACUGGUGAGCGAAGCAUUAUUUUACUCAGGAAGACAAAAUUUAUUUAAAUAAAUGAUACCAACGAAUCCAGAUACGCGCGAAGAGCUAUUGAAUAUGGAAAGCACGAUCAUAAACAAUUCUGCGGUUUAUUAUUUCUUAUUAUGUAAAAUAUACAUUAAUAUAGGAAAAAAAUAAACGGUUUUGCAUGGUAUAUUUGCAUAAAAAUGAAUUGGUAAGUAGAUUGUACAAAUAGAUUCCUUUUUUUUAUAACAAAACUCAUGAGAGAAAGAGAAGAAUAUAUAUAUACUCUAAGCAUUCCUCUAAAGUUUACCAACAAAAAAAUACAAGUAUUCGUCAAAAAAAAUUAUUUUCUUCUAAUUCCACUUGAUUACUCCUACUCUUUUGAGUUUUUACGAGUAAAAAUCUCUUAAAAAUGAUAUCUUUGUGGUGCAAUGUAAAUAUUAUUUUGAACAAAUUCGUUUUAUGUUCUUUUCAAAUCUUCAAAUUCAUUGCGUUUACAUGUUUAUUUAAUUUUGUUGCAUGUCACACAGUAGUAUAAUCCAACUCCUCUGUUUUUACGUAAGUUUUUUUUUAGUUGAUUUUUGUCGGACUUUAAGAGAGAGAGAAAAGUGGCGUCUUUGUGGACUUUCUCAAUUGAGGAGAGAGAAAGAGAGAGUCAAAAGAAGGAAGAGGUUUCGUUUACUUGCUGCUGUGAAAAAGCUCGAAACUUUCAUCUCUUUCUUUUAUUGGGUUUUUGAUCAGCUUUUGAAAUCCGGAGAAAAAUAGUAUUUUUCUUGAAAUCGAAAUCUGAUCUCCAUUGAGAGUCUUGCUGCUUGAUUUUGAUUCCGAUUAAGGUCUUCUCGAGAAUCUUUUGCUGCAGUUACUAGGUUUUGACGAGCCGUUGAUCUGGACGGAGUUCCAGAUCUCCGGGUCGUGGUAGCAAGGAAUUAGGGUUUUAGCACAAAGUUCUUGUUUUCUGUGGAUUCGAGGGAUGGACAAGUUUUCGGGUCGAUGUUCGCUGCUCUAACAUUUGGAGUAUGAAGAUGAACAUGAAGAAAUUUCUUAAAAAGCUGCGUAUCACGCCCAAUCAACGAGACGAUGGUGAAGGGUCAGUCUCAAACAGAAGCAAUAAGUCUAGUGAUGCAGAACCAUCUCCUUCAGAUUCAUUGAGGUCUCAAGAUAACACUGAAUUCAAACCCUUUUCGGGUUUAUCAAAUUGGUUCAGCUCUGUUGCUCACAGAAAAAGCCCUUCUUCUUCCAAUGCCACCAAUAGCAAAGAGGAUGAAACUACCAUGGAACAUGGUGGUCCCGUUGGGUCGGAAUCUGGGAGGAUGCAGGGUUUGGGUUCUAGUAAUUCCAAGGAUCCAGAAGUUGAAGAAGAAUAUCAGAUACAGUUGGCUCUAGAGUUAAGUGCUAGGGAGGAUCCUGAAGCUGCUCAGAUUGAGGCUAUGAAGCAGUUCAGUUUAGGUUCUCGUCCUUCUGCUCCCGAGAAUUCUCCUGCUGAACUCAUGGCAUAUAGAUACUGGGUGAGUUUUUGACUCAUUGCCAGAUAUAGAAACAAUUCCCAAGUCACUUGAGCAAUAAUAGACUGUGCUUGAAACAAGAAGUGUUAAGUUGAUUACUGACCAUAGAAUUCUAGUAUUGUGUGUCAAUACGAGAAUCCACCUAGAGACAUUUCGUGACUAAUAGCUCUUCUCUGUCUCUUCUAACCAAUUUUAUAUCUCUGGAAUUUUGCAGAAUUAUAACUGUCUUGGCUAUGAUGACAAGAUUGUGGAUGGUUUCUAUGACCUGUGUGGAGUAAUGAAUGAAUCUUCCUUAGAAAGAAUACCUCCCUUAGUUGACCUUCAGGGGACACUUAUGUCAGAUGGUGUAACUUGGGAUGCUGUUCUAGUGAACAGAAGCCAAGAUUCGAAUCUGUUGAGACUUGAACAAAUGGCUCUUGAUAUUGCAGCAAAAUCAAAGUCAGCAUCUUCUUCAGGGUUUGUGAACAGUGAAUUGGUACGGAAACUGGCAGUUUUAGUUGCAGAUUACAUGGGUGGACCAGUUGUGGAUCCAGAUAGCACCUUAAGAGCUUGGUGGAGUCUGAGCUACAGCUUGAAAGCAACCCUCCAUAGCAUGGUUUUGCCCCUGGGUUCUCUAACUAUUGGAUUGGCUCGUCAUCGUGCCUUGUUAUUCAAAGUAUGUACCCUGCCCUCUAUUACUUUUGCUUUGUGUAAAAAUUAGCGCAAGAGGGGCAUUUUUUGUAAUCUCGUGACUGUUAAAGCUUCUUGCUAGUUUGGUGCAUGUUUGAAACUUUGUGCAAAAUGCCCUUGUUUGUCUGACUAUCUUUAUUACAUACAAAGCGUAUUGCACCUCUAAAACGCAGUUUGGUGUUUUGUCUCUUCUUUCUUAUGAGACUUUGUAGGUUUUGUGUGAUAGUGUCGGUGUUCCUUGUCGAAUAGUCAAAGGACAGCAGUAUACCGGUUCUGAUGAUGUGGCAAUGAACUCCAUUAAGACUGAUGAUGGCAGGUGACUUUCAAAUUAAAAAUCAAUCAUUAUGUAAUUUCAACAAUUUUCUCUAUCAUUUGUAGAGAAAAAUGUGUAUAUAUAUAUAUAUAUUUGGUGAAAUAUGUGGAUAUAGACUUGGGGUGUGUGUUAUAGCUAACUCACAUCUCUGAAAAGGUUAAAGCUAUUACUGAGGCUUGAUAAAAGUGUAAUUUUCUUUGGUCUAAGCAACAAUGCUGUUUAGAACUGAAAGCAGGAUUUAGCAUGUUUCAUGCUUGUAUUGUGGUUCUUUCUACUGUUAUUGCAGUCUGCAGUUGCAUAGUAUUUUCCCUAACGAAUCCAAAUGUGAAUUUCAGGGAGUACAUUGUUGAUCUUAUGGGAGAUCCAGGCACGCUUAUCCCCGCUGAUGCAGCUGGACUACAGAUGGACUAUGAUGAUUCUGUCUAUACUGCCAGUCCCAGAGAUGUUGAUUCAUCUCAUGUAGCUUCUUCCAGCAGUGGGGUUGAGAGCUCAAUUGAAGAACACGCAGAAUCUUGGUCAGCGGAACAUCGUUCUAAGACCAAGGGUUACCGGGAGGAAAACCAAUCUGCAGGUGGAGGGGAUCUCAUGAUUCGUCCAAAUAUUUUUAGGGAAUUUGUGGGAAGUCAAAAGGCUCCUGUUCAACAUCAUUCCAGCAAGCCUACUCAUUCUUUCACUCAUGCCAGAUCACCUUCGUGGACUGAAGGUGUUAGCUCUCCAGCUGGACGCAGGAUGAAAGUCAAAGAUGUUUCACAAUAUAUGAUCGAUGCUGCCAAAGAGAAUCCACAACUAGCUCAGAAGCUUCAUGAUGUGUUACUUGAAAGUGGAGUUGUAGCUCCUCGAAAUUUAUUUUCGGAAGUCUAUUCAGAGUCAAUGGAGGCAACAGGUGAAAUCAAAUCUGUGGCUGAAUCCAGUGAUGAGAAAGGGAAAGAUUUUGGAACAAUCCAGCAAGGAAGAAACCAGAGCAAUAUUGGCCCUGUGAGGUUUUUGCCUCCUCUUCCAAGACCGCAAUCUAAAGCAUAUACCCAUGACCUACGUGAACAUUCAGGACCUGGACUCGGUCAUUUGUCCCAUCAUUGCAAUAUUGAUGGUCAGUCUGAUUCGUCACAUUCUGAAACAUCUACUGAUUAUCCCAGAAAUGUUCCUGUUGCCGUAGCUGCAGCGGCUGUUGUUGCAUCUUCUAUGGUUGUUGCUGCCGCCAAGUCAGCAAACUCGGAUUCCUCCACUUUAGAACUUUCUGCUGCAGCUGCUGCUGCAGUUGUGGCGACAGCUGCAGCAGUGAGCAGGCAGCUUGAACUAGAUUCACUUAGCAACGGGGAUGCUGGUUCUGGUGGGAUUCAUGGGGUAGAUUCAGGAGGAGAACGAAUAUCCGACAGAUCUACUGGCAAUGAAAGUUCAAAAUCUGAUUCUGCAAUUGAUGAUGUGGCUGAAUGCGAGAUUUUGUGGGAGGAAAUUACUGUGGCUGAGCGUAUCGGACUGGGUAUGUGUUGUACUAUAGGCUUUAGUGUAACUAGUGCUACGACAAAAAGUAUUUAGAUUUAUCUUAUUUGAUGCAGGAUCAUACGGAGAGGUGUAUAGGGGAGAUUGGCAUGGAACUGUGAGUAUCUCAUAUUUCUUUAGCUUAAUACAGUAUCAUUGUAGCUUACUAAUUGGCUGGCAAGGAGAGAAACAUGGUAAUUUUUUGCUUAUUAUUUUCAUUUUCAAUAUCAAUGAAACUCUUGAUUUGGUAGGCAGUGGCUGUCAAGAAGUUCAUUGACCAAGAUAUUACAGGAGAGGCACUGGAGGAAUUCAGAAGUGAGGUAUAAGCGUUUCCUUCUCUGGAAAUUCUUGUACCCUUUCAAGUUUCAAACAUUAAUCGCUAAGUGACGGAUUCGUAACAUUUCACUUCAAUUCGAUGCAAGGUCCGGAUGAUGAGAAGGCUCAGGCACCCUAAUAUUGUUCUCUUCAUGGGAGCUGUAACCCGCCCACCAAAUCUCUCAAUUGUUACAGAAUUUCUUCCUAGGUAUGCUAUGAUCCUUUUCAUUAUUUAAUUGUUUUCAUGCCAGAUGAUUUAUCUAACUACCCCUGUUCCAUCCAUUAGUGAGCAGAGCUCAGACUCAUCAGUCUCUUUUCUGUGUUUAUUAACCAAAUUUUUUUUUUGCUUGCGCAGAGGUAGCUUGUAUAGGUUAAUCCACAGGCCUAAUAACCAAUUAGAUGAGCGAAAGCGUCUGAGGAUGGCUCUUGAUGCUGUAUUAUUACUGAUUUCUCUUCCACUCCUUUUUUACCUCUACUAUCUAUUUGUAUCUUCUUUAUUGUUUCUUACAAAAAAAUUUCCAACCUAUGUAGGCUCGUGGAAUGAAUUAUUUACACAGCUGUAAUCCGGUAAUUGUCCAUCGUGAUCUUAAAUCUCCAAACCUUCUAGUUGACAAAAACUGGGUUGUCAAGGUCAGUAAUUCUUCCACUCCGAUUUCAUUUUCUCUUCUAUGAUAUCUCUAAUGGCUUACAUAUUUCUCAGGUGUGCGAUUUUGGGUUGUCUAGAAUGAAAGUAAGCACAUACCUCUCUUCAAAGUCAACAGCAGGCACGGUAAGCUACUGGAAGAAAUUCACUGUUCUCCACUAGGACAGUUAAUGUCAACUAAAACAAUCCAGUUAGAUUACCUCAUGUCUUACUUUCCAGUUCAUUGAUCUAAGCUAGGAGGCUUGAUUUUGUGUUUGCUCAUUUCAGGCCGAAUGGAUGGCUCCUGAAGUACUUAGAAAUGAACCCGCGGAUGAAAAGUAGGGUUUUUCUUAAGCUCUUUACCAAAAGCAACUUGCUUCUAAACUUAUUAUCUCUUCCCAUGUAAUGUUCCCUAUUAAGACGAGGUACAUAAUGUGAAAACAGGUGUGAUGUGUAUAGCUAUGGAGUCAUUCUGUGGGAACUCUUUACGUUACAGCAACCAUGGGGGAAAAUGAACCCAAUGCAAGUUGUUGGUGCGGUUGGGUUUCAACAUCGAAGACUUGAAAUCCCUGAGUUUGUUGAUACUGGAAUUGCAGAUAUCAUCAGGAAAUGUUGGCAGACGUAAGUUUGAUGUAUAGUGAUGAUGAUUAUUAUAGCUCUCUUGUUUUCUCGAUGAAUUAAAUUAAACUCUGGUCUGUAAUGGGUUUAUUUAUCUGGUUUUGGUAGGGAUCCAAGGUUAAGACCAAGUUUUGCAGAGAUCAUGGCUUCUCUAAAGCAGCUACAGAAACCUAUGAUGGGUCCAAACAUCCAGAGAGCAACAGUUCCCAGUUCUUCUGCGUUGUUGACCACUGAUGAGCAGGAACAAUAACAUGAUGCUUGAUGAAGAAGAUGACUAAAUGAUGAUGAUGGUGGGAUCAUUCUUUACAUAUUAUAUGUUCUGUGGUGUGCUUGUUCAUGUGUCUUCACCAUGUUUUGUUUACAAAUUGUAAAAAAAGAUAAUGCAAAACAAAAAAAAAAAAAAAAAAAAAAAGGAAAAGGAGAAAAAAAGAAAUUAAUUUGUCAAUGAUAAAAAUCGUUGAGAAUUGAACUUUCAUUUCUCUUACAUACGAAAUUCAAGUAAAAGUUGUUCAUCUACUACAACUAAUUCACUGUUAUUUUUUUUUUUUUUAAUUCACUGUUAUUUCAUGGCGCGAAUUUAAUAUUUCUGUUAAUUAUGAUUAUAUCGUCGUUACUAACAAUAACCAAAUAAAGUCGAAUAAAUUCGUUGGCCUUCUUUCUUGAAACAUGAUCAUCACACGAACAAGAUAGGCCUUUUAAUAAGGGAAACCAAAAGGAGUAAUUAGAGCCCUGAAAAUGGCGAAUUUAUUCACUGCUACGGCUCCUUUCCUCUCACUCUCAAAGCCGUUCACCAAAACGGCACCGUACCACCAGUGUUGUGCCUCUUCUUCCAAUCCGCCGGAGCCUGAGUCGUCUUCUUCUUCUUCUUCUUCUCCUUCUCCUCCUCCUCCACCUCAACCGCAACAGAAGAGGAAGAAGACCGUCGAGACGACGGAUUGGGUCGCUUCUUCCUUGACUCGGCGGUUCGGAAUCGGGGCUGGUCUUGCCUGGGCGGGCUUUCUGGCUUUUGGUGUAAUCUCCGAGCAGAUCAAGACUCGGAUUGAGGUUUCUCAGGAAGUAGCUAACACCAGGUUUUAAUAAUUCACAUAUAUCCUUUGCAUUUUUUGAAGAACUUUCAUUACGAAUUGGCGAUCACAAAGAAAAAGUUUUGGAUUCUAUAUAAUCAUAAGUUACCUGAAGUUGUUUCUUUUGUGGGGUUUGCAGAGAUGUAGAAGAAGAGAAAGAGAUUGUGUUACCCAACGGCAUAAGGUGCAAUGUGCCAUUAACUAGAGCACAAAUGUUGAAUGAUUUUCAUCCAUGGAUACAGUUUAAUUCCCUGCUUAAAAGUUAUAUAAGAAAAGCUCUGUUACUGAAUAUUGAGAUAUAAUCACCAUGUAUGUUUUCUCUGUGGCCCUUUUUAGUACUUGAGCUUAUUAAGACAUUGAAACUAUUGAUGUAGCAAAUGUGUCUCCUUUCCUUAUCUACAGACAGCUCUUGAAUUUUUUUUUUUUUUUUUUUUUGUGUAUGAGCUUUUUAAGCCAUUGAUGUAGCUAGCAAUGUGUCUCCUUUUCCUUAUGUACUGAACAAUAUCAAACAUUCAUAACAAAACAGAUAGCUCUUGCAUCAGUCACUGAUCUAAUGGAAUCGGACCGUGCAGGUACUAUGAUAUACGGGUUGGAGGAGGAGCGACACCAAGGGCAGGAGACUUGGUAGUGAUUGAUCUAAAGGGGCAAGUGCAAGGAACCGGACAAGUAUUCGUGGACACAUUUGGAAGCAAAGGCAAGAAGAAGCCAUUGGCCCUUGUGGUGGGUUCAAAACUAUAUAGCAAAGGAUUAUGUGAAGGCAUAGAUUAUGUACUAAGGUCCAUGAAGGCUGGAGGUAAACGCAGAGUUAUUGUUCCACCAUCGUUAGGAUUUGGUGAAGACGGUGCUGAAUUGGAAUCGGGUUUGCAGAUUCCUCCGAAUGCUUCGUUGGAGUAUAUAGUUGAGAUUGAUAGAGUCUCAAUUGCACCUGCUUGAGUUGUGUUUCAAUGCCAAAUCCUUCAACUGGUUGUAUAAGAGAUUAUGAGUGGAAAAUAAAAUAAACUUGUCUUUUGGGGUCGAAUGUUUAUAAACCGAGAUAAACCGGAUCAAAAUCUUCGGUUUGAUUUUCUUAUGUUUACAUAGAUAUAAUAAAGUUACGUAAAUGUAUUUCUGUGGUUUAUACGUAAUGACGACUUUGAUGAAGUCUUAGCCAAAAUUGCGAAGAAAAUUCUUUUAUUCGCUGGAUUUCUCUGUGAACGAGGAAAGGAACACGAUUCUUGUCAAUUAACGUUGUUUUUUUUCUCUUUUUUCCGGCGGAAGCGAAUUGCUGAUUGCUGUAGAGAAUGGUGAAAGUAAUCGAUUCCCAUUACCUAGCCAUCACCGCCAUUGUCACCGUGAGUCUUUUUGGUGCAAUCGAUUCUUUUGUGGUUCUCGAGAAAUCAAGAGUUGGGUUUUCUUUUGUAGGUGGGUUAUCAAUUGAUAUUCUUCGUAAUCACAGCUCUUUUCAAAUUUGAUCAAGUUACAGACUUUGCCGGUACGAUGAUCUAACUUGGAAAUGCUCCCUUUGAUAGUUUCGUGUUUCGUAAUUCUUCUUUCGAUUGUGAUCACAAAUGUAUAGAAUUUUAUUUCCUUCAUUUUUGCUAACGUAUUAUGACUCACACAUGUUGUCAGGAAGUACUAAUUUCGUGAUACUUGCUGUCUUGACUCUGGUUCUCAAAGGGACAUGGCAUUAUCGUCAGGUAAUAAGAUCCUCACCUCUCUUUCUCUAUGUGUGUGGUUUGUAUAAUUGUCUCAGCUCUUUAAUCUCCCAGAUAGUCUUGACUGUACUAGUAGUCGUAUGGGGACUUCGUCUCGGACUGUUCCUCCUUAUGAGGUUUGCACCAUGAACACCCCCCAAAAUCUUUAUGCAUUUGCAACUAUUGUGUGAGAGAAAAUAUAUAGUACUUAAUGAAGUUUUCUAGUCAUGUCUGAUGUAUCUAUUUCAUUCUAUCUAUGAGUAGGAUCUUGCAAUGGGGUGAAGAUCGACGCUUUGAUGAAAUGCGUGGAAAUAUCGGGAAACUAGUAGUCUUUUGGAUUUUUCAGGCUAGCUACUACAAACUUUGGUUUUUCAUCUUUAGAAGACAGAGAAGAAAGUAGCUCAGCUCAGCUAAGCUAAAUUCUUGUGAUCUAACACCAUGUGGGUUUUUGUUCUUUUUUCUCUACCAGGCCGUGUGGGUUUGGACUGUUAGUUUACCUGUUACCUUUGUUAAUGCAAGCAACGGUGGAAGAUUGUUUCAGCCCGCAGAUGUUAUAGGUUGGACAAUGUGGGUUGCAGGGUUCUUGAUUGAAGCUACAGCUGAUCAACAAAAACUUUCAUUCAACAAGUGUCCAGAAAACAAAGGAAGAUGGUGCGAUGUUGGUGUAUGGAAGUAUUCACGCCAUCCAAACUACUUUGGUGAGGUUAGUAUCUUAUCGAUUUACAGUUUGGUUUUGUAUGAAUUAGAAGAAGCUCCAAAAAAAAAAUAAAAAAAUUGAUGGGCGUGAUUAUGAAUUCAGAUGUUACUCUGGUGGGGCAUAUAUGUGGCUUCAUUGCCUGUGCUUAAAGGUGUCGAGUACCUUGUCAUAAUUGGACCAGUCUUUCUCACUUUGCUACUUUUCUUCGUUAGCGGCAUACCAUUACUCGAGGUUCUCUCUAUCUAUCCUCUCUCUUUCCACUCUGGCACAUUCUAAAUCACACAGCAGAAACAACAUUCUUGUUUUGUAUAAAUGUAGGAAUCUGCGGACAAAAAAUAUGGUAACUUGGGAGCUUAUCGACACUACAAGAAGACAACUAGGUAUGAUACAAAGCUCUUUGAACACUGUUAUUGGCCCUCGAGAUGUGUUAUAAAUGCUAAGUGUUUCCCUCUUUCAAUUGGAUAUUGGUUUACAGUCCUUUGAUUCUGUUACCACGAGGAGUGUAUGGGUACUUGCCAAAAUGGUGCAAAACAGUCUUUCUUUUUGAGUUUCCAUUGUAUAGCCGUAAUCUUCCUCAAGAGACUACAGCCUGGUGAGCCUCCUGUGUAUGAAUGAAUUUAUCAUUAUUUGGCUUCAAUCUCUUUGUAAAUCACACAAAGUCUUUGUUUAACUUAUGAAUUCUUUUUACGUGCAAGGGAUAGACGAAACUCGAAGAAGAGCCAGAGAAGUAUUGACUGAGGGAGCGAGAGAAAGAGAAAGAGAGUAGAUGGUUACUGUGUUUUUGCAAACCCAUCUCCUAGUUCUUCCUUCAUGAGCAAAUUCUCUUUUUGUACAGAUUCUCGUUUGUCUUUGAAUACUUGUGAAAAGUAAUUGAUACAUUGAUUGAGAAUACAAUAAGAUUCAAACCAAGCUUCAAAAAAUGUUGGAAGGAAAAUUACAUAUGAUUCAAAAGAAAAGUUCUCUAAGGAAUAAGCUAUUGAAGUGAACUGUUACUGAAGUUCUCUAAGGAAAUCACUGCACCUGAUCUAAGUUCACCUGAAGAAGAAGCAUCGGAAUGAGAGAGUAGGAUGUAUAAUACCCAUAGAUGAAGGCAAACCAGAUAGACCACAGCCCAGAUUUUGGCAAUAGGAUUUCUACGCAAGAAGACGGUUCCCGAGAUGAAUAUAGCGUUUAGUUGCAUCACUAGCCAUCCCAAAUGUUUCUUGCCUGACCGGAUUUUAUCUUGGAAAGCUGGUUUAAACUUUGAUCCCGACAGUUCCCAAUCUCCUGCUUCAAGAUCUUGGGAUGAGGCUUCAGUUGCAGACAUACCUUUGUUUUCUUCUAUAAGCCUUGAUACGGCCUGGCAAAGAAUCAAAAUUGGGUUGUGUGUAAGUGAAGAACAUAUUUUUGUUUUUGGAGCAGGACCUGCAGGUUGGUGGAAUUCAUCAAUGUACCUCGAUUCUAAACGAUAUGGUUGCUUUCUCUGAGGAAAGCGCUUCCACCUGGUAAAUUUGGCAAGAAAAUUUGGAAUUUAUUCUAACAAUUUUUUGUCUAAAUGUCUGUAUCUUAAAUGUUCAUAUACCUGGGAUUGUUUUUGAAUAAGAUGGUCAGUUAGCUGGUUAAGUCUUCGUUUCAGUUCAAUUUCCACUUCAGUUGGUUCUUCGAGUUCCUUUCUCAUCAUUUCUAUGUCUGCUUCCAGUUUAGUUGCCUGGAAUUUUAACAAGGAAUCAAGCAAAAAACAAAGGAAUGUGCCUUAAAUAUAAUCCUGAAGAACAGAAAAAAAAGCAUAAGUCAACCAGACAACUGUGUUAGCUAACCUUGUCUUGUAACCACCCAAUUUUAUCAGUCAGCAAAGAAAUCUCUGCUUCAAGCAUCUGGUGUUCGAAUAUGUCUCCUCUAGAAGUAUCUAACUACACAGCCCACAUAUAAGCAGCAUGAUUCUCAGACCAAGUAGACAAAGAUUUCCACAUUGAGAUUGAAGAAAAAGAAACAAAAAGAAAAGAAGGCCCAAGUCACCUGUUUUACAGUUGUUCCACUUCCCCCAAUAUUAGAAGUAUUUCGCGUCAGUUCUACAUGAUAAAGACAACUUCUUUAGCAAAAUAGAGAAGUGGUUAUCCUCAAAUGACUAUGAGCAGUAAAAAAAGUUAUUUGAAGUAGAAUAAACUUCCUAUAAGAGAGGUGUCUUUAUUACAUAUCAGUAACUGUAUAAUUUUUCAAACAAGGAACCUAUACCUUCCAGAGUAGACUCUUUAACCUCAACUUGUUGUCGGAGUACUGCUACCUGAUCUAUCUGGUCACAUCAGAAAGAAAAGAGAUUAGUACGCAAAUGCAGAUAUAGAAGUUGUUUGACUCAACAACAUUGAUUAGGUAUUGAUCAAAACAUCCUUGCCUCAGAAGAUCUACAUCUUUCAGUAAGAACAAUGGUCAUUAGCUUUUACCUUUAUUAUUCUUCGAUUCCAGCUAAUUCAAACAAACCAAGAAACAAAAUAAUUAGAUUAUGUAAUCUUUAUACCUGAGUCUCAAGUUUCUUCUGCCCAGCGGCAAGCGAUCUUGUAAGUUCAGCGUUUGCAGCCUAAAACAUUCAAUUUUUAUGUUUACAUCAAAAAACCAUAUCAUCUCGCUCCAAUAGAAGGUAAAUACUAAGAGCAAUUUGAACUGUCAGCAAACAAAUUACAAGAUUAAUACCUCUAAUCCGGCCAAGCGUGUGAGAACUUCCAUUCUUGUAUUGUUAUGCUUCUGCUUUUCAAGGUCAGCAGCUUCCAGUGUUUCCAUCAUGUUUGUUUGCAACUCUGCAGCCUAAACGAAAUAGAACAAACUCAGAAUCUGUAGCUCAUCUAGCUUGAGUAACACAAAUAUAAAAUCAUAUAAUGGGUGUUUGCAGCAGCUUCUACAACUUGGACAAAUUGCUACCUCUUGUGCUUGUUGUUUAGCUCGUUCUUCGACUAUUUUCUCUAAACUCAAUUUUUCACCCUCAAGUCUUGCUACCAUAUUCUCUCGCUCUUUGAUGACGGCUACAGCUUUUGUUGCAACUCUUUCAGCAAAAAUUCUCUCUCUUCUCCUCCUACGCUCCUCCCUCUGACGCUCCCUCUCAGAGUCAGUGCUCGAAUCAGACUCAUAAUCGGAUUCAGAUUCAUCAUUUGACAAGGAAGAAUCCUUCCUCUUUAGACCAUCAGAAAAAUUGCUCUGUGAGACUUCUUCCCUCACCUGCUUUCCCCAUACAGAACUUCUUCUGGACUCACGACCAUCCCUUUUUCCUACACUUGGUAAUGUUUCCUUAGGGAGAGUCUCAUUGGCCGAAUUUCUGGAUUCAUCCAGGGGAGGUGGCUUACCACUGACAUCCUUCUCACUCUCUUUAUGAGUUGAGUUCACAAAUAUAUCCCGAGGAGCAUUCCUACUUUCCAUGUCAGCAUCAGAAGGGCUAGACACGCUUGGUUCCUUAUUCGUCUGUUUUUGUGGCCUCCCUCUGGAAUCAACCACAUUACCACUACUACUCUUCUUUCCAUCAGAUACCAAAGGAUUUUUCCCCAAAUUCCCAUGUCUUUUUCCAUCCUUCUUCAAUCCCCGAUUCACAGAUGUUCCUCCGGGAGUACGAGGCUUAGAAGUACUGCUACCCUGAUUUGGAGUACUCAGAAGUUCUGUCCAGUCACUGUCAGUGAGUUUAGUUUUAUCUUGUGCCAAACUUUGUAAAGGUGAACUUGUUCUUUCUUGUGAUUGAUCUGGUUUGCGUAAUUUUUUGGUGCUACUUACGUAACUAGGCUUUUGCUCUGUUGAGUUUCUCUGAGAUCCACCGCCAGAAUCACUACCUUCAUGUGUCUUCUUCCUCAACUGAUCUUUCAACGAAACAGGGCUACUUCCAGAUUUAGGAGAAGUCUCAAACACCUCAUCAUGAGUCUCAGACUUGUCAUCUUUUCGAAGAGACUCUGCUGCCUGCUGAUCAAGCUGCAAAGCACAGUUUACAUAAUCCCCAAUUAGCAUAAAUUUUGUGGUACGAGCUCAAGUACAAAUUCGACAAGAACGCAAGACUCUGAAAUAGUAUAAGCAGAAAUCGGUGCAAUGCAAUGACCAGAUAGUGUUACAAUAGCAUUGCCAGACGAUAUAGAUUAGUCCAAGCAUGAAUCGCAUCAAUUUCAACACAAAAUCGUUCCACUGGACCGUUUUCCGGGAAACUAGGACAUCAAUCCGGUGAUCAACAGAGGAAUCAAAGCAAAUCAUCCAUAACAUGAGGAUCGAAAUUAAACUAGAACCCAACAAAUUCCAAAUCUAGUAAUUUACAUCCGUUUUCUAUGCAAACAAAAAAAAAGAGAUUCGAUAUCGCACCUGUUGAAGAAUCGUUUCGGCUGCUUUGAGCUUCGACGAGAUCCAAUUCGCCAUUUUGCUUCACAAAAGAGAUGGGACUAAAGACCCAUACGUCACCGUUUUAUCACCCAAAGUGGUUUCUGAAUUGCACUCGCAUCAGAGAAAAACGAAGAAGACGAAGAUGAAAUAAUGUUACAGUGACGUGUCGGUGACGUAGUUUAUUUAGCAAACGCCGAACGAGACUCCACAACUAACUCAGCCGAGUCCGGUUUUGUUUUCCGGUUUAAUAUUUCAUUUGUCUUUGGUUCGUUACAAAUUCAAUAAUCCAAACCAAGACUUGGAUAUAGUUACGAUUUGUGAUUUUUGUCAUUAUAUAGGAUUUACUUAAUACGAGAAAAAUAUAAGACAAAUCCAGGCCAAGCCAACAUGAUCAAUUUAUUUACUUGUAGCAACAAUUGGGCAAAGAAGUACUCAACGGUCGAGUGGCGGUAAAUUCAUGAAUAUUCACAAUCUCUUUACUGGGGGCAGGCCCGGCUCACUCAUCGGUAAGACCCGGUGCCAUACAAAAAAAAUCCUAUCUUUAAUAAAAAAUUUAUAUAUAUAUAUAUUUACAAAAAGUUAUAUUUCAUAAAUUAUUUUGUAUUUUAUACCUAUUUGGAUUUGUUAUUUUUGUUUAUUAAUUUUGGGCCUCAAUAUUACCUUUUAAAAUAGAAUUUUGGGACCUUUAUAUAUAGAUAUUUUAUAAAAUUUCAGCAUAAUUAAAUAGUUAAAUAAUAGAAAAACUAUGAAUUUGGACCUUAAAUUUGUUGGACCCGGUGCAAAUGCACCACUUGCACAUGCCAAUAACCGGCACUGCUGGGGGGAAUGACCGCACCGUUACUUUCGUUGUUACCGUCACCGUUGGGUCUAUUGUCUACCGCGGUCUUCUGAGUCAAAACCUCAUGUAUCCGUCCGAUCAUGCUUAGAAACGCUUCCUCAACAUUUUGGUUCUCUAAAGCUGAUGUUUCGAGAAAAUAGAGACCUUCUGAUUCGGCUAGUGUCUUACCCUCUUCUUCUUCAACUUCUCUAGACUGCCCGAGAUCGGAUUUGUUACCUACGAGAACAACGACGGUCUCAGGACUAGAGAAGCCUCUGAGCUCCGACAACCAUUUUCCAAUGUUUUUGAAAGUGAUUCGUCUUGUGAUGUCGUAGAUUAGUAAAGCUCCCAAGGCUCCACGGUAAUACGAACUCGUUAUUGCUCUAAAUCUUUUUUCCUCCCAUACAAAAAAACAAUAUUUAAGAUAAGUAAAAACACAUGCAUAAACUAUUAAAGAAUUAAGUAAGAUAAAAUUUAUCGAAAUAAAUAUAAUUUUAAUAAGAAAAAACAAAAAGAAGAAAAGGUCGCGACAUUUAACGAAGAUUAGGUCCGCGUGACAUCGAUUGCUUAUAUAUCAAGAUUUUCAUUAUUGUCUUCUGCGCGUGAUCUGGUUUUCCUAAUCAUCAUCCCAAUCAUAUAUUUCAUUAUUUAUUUCUGUUGUUUAUCUAACACAUUUCCAUUUAACAUUUACAUACAAAAAGAAAUGUCGAAAAUUUAACAAGUUUUACGUCUUGGUUAGUCUCGUCUACGUUAGAAAAUUAUACAAAAAAAAUCUUAUGAAUUAAAGGAUAUUUUUGUUCAUGGUCAAAUGAAAAAACAACAAAUGGAAGUGAACUCGAGAAUUUCAUUUAUAUUAGUCUUACGUUUAUGUUUUUCGUGCAAAAAUAUUAGUCUUACGUUAAAUAAUACAAAAUUUUUUAUGAUGAUCUUCAUCAUCAAGUCCGUUAAAUAGUUUCAUAUCCGAGGUUGAAUUCUGUUACCUUUCUUGGCCGGCGGUGUCCCAUAUCUGAGCCUUGAUAGUCUUAUCACCCACCCGAACAUUCCGGUAAGCAAAGUCUACUCCGAUGGUCGGUUUAGAGUCUAACCGAAACUCAUCCCUCGAGAAUCUCGACAAGAGGUUUGAUUUUCCGACGGCAGAGUCUCCUAUCAGCACCGCCUUGAAUAGGUAGUCGCACUCUUCGUCAUACGAUUCCUCCGCCAUGUUAUUUAUCUUGUCGGUUUGAUUAGGGUUUAUGUAAGUAAAUCUAAGAAAAAGGAAGAAAACUGACUAGAAGAAUCGAUCAAUGGUGGAAAUCUGAAGAAGAAAGGGUUUGUCUUAUGUAAUUAUAUACGAACCUCUCAAGAAAUUCUUUCCACUAAUUAAGUAUAUAUGGCUCUAUUUAUGUGAAAACAUGGAUAAUUAUACAUAUUAAUGUAAUAUGAUUGCGACAAGAUAUAUAACUAUAAUAAGUAUUGGGUGUGACUGGUAGGUGUUUUUAGAAGAAAAGAAAAAUGUAUAAAUUUUAUUCUUCUGAAUUCAUCUGUGUUUUCACCAGGUAGAAAAAAAGAAGAAGAAUUACUUUUCUACUGAAAAGUGAAAAAGCAGAGUAAAGUAGAAGAUUUUAUCCCUCUACAAAAUAGCUAAAGUAACGUUUUCUUCUGAAGUGCCAUUUUCUUCUCUCUUCAUUUCUUCUUUAAAAUUCUACUCAUUUCUUCUAUAGUUUUCACCAGUCAGACCUAUUGUUUUUUUUCUACUUUUUCUUGGAAGAGUUAAAUGAGGACGAAAUCAUUUUUGAGAAAAAGUAUAGAUAAAGAGCAGGACAAGGAUAAAAGAGGCGUGACAGAGAUUGUACAUAACACAAUCCAAGAGAUUUUUUUUUUUGUCAACGACGUCGUUAACUAAAAUAGUGUGCCUCUUAUUUAUCUUAACUCGUUGUUAUGUUACUAUAUGUCUAUAUAGCUUUAAAAGGAUGAAGUUGUGAUGUUUUGAUUGUCUAGGGAUCUCAAGUACUAAAGCUCAAUCAUGCAUGUUUCGCUGUAGUCUCUGUACGUUUAAGUUUUGACAUUUUACCAAACUCACUCACUGACUCACGUUAGGUUUGACUUGUAAAGAGUUGUAACACAAAUAAAAUGAAAAGAUGGCUAGUUGGGCCUAAGAUGGGCUUUAACAGGCCGGAUUUUUCACAAACAAGUCAAAGUUGUUUUCGUGAAGCCUUUGACCGAUUCCUUUACUCCAAAGAGGAAGAGUGGAAUACGACUCGUAGACGUCGACGUCUUUCUUUAAUGUACACCAUUGGAUCCCAUCUCAAUUUUUGCAAACUGGGUUCUCUUUUUCUUGAGGACUAGUUGCCUUAUUUAAUCACAUAUUGUUUCUUUAAAUGCUUACCACUUUCAUUUCUACAUCCGAAAAUAGCUUAAUUGGACAAGGAAACGAAUAUAUCAAUCUACGCGUCUAUCGAGCCCUUUAAUUCAGCAUUCAUUACGUUGCUUCGUAGUAGGAGCAUCAGAGUAUAUUAAUUCAAUGAAACCAGAUCAUCGGCUAAGAUUAUUAGCGUUGGUUCAUCACUAAAAACUCAAAUUCAAAAUUUAAAAGUUAUAAUGGUCCCCAAAAAAAAUAAUUUGAGUCACUUAUUUCUGUUCUAUCCGGGGAACGUCUCCAUUGACCAUUUUGGUUUGUUAAGCAAAAAGAGAUAGGAUUCUAAUUCUUCAACUUAGGUGGUGUUAUUCAAUGAUGGAUUUUAAUAGAAUUGAAAUCAAACACUAAUCCAGUGUUAUUCAACUAAUGAUUAUAAAUCUAAUGUUAAAAUCUGGUGUUAUUAGAUCUUAUACUUCAUUAGAUUUUAAAAGUUUGGUGUUAUUCAAUGGUGGAGUUAAAGUCAAUUCUUUAAGGUUUGUAAAAUCCAGUGUUAUUCAAAACUAAAAGACUUGUAAAAUCUUUGUAUAUUAAAUCAUUUCAAAUGAAACCUCUUUGGAGUUUCAUGAGUAAAUUAUUAAAAUCAAAAUCCAAGAUAUACUGCAUAGAUUUUGAAAUCCACACAAACAUAUUCUUAAAACCAAUAUCAGAAAACAAAUCUAAACCUUAAAGAAUUGACUUUAACUGCACCAUUGAAUAACAUCCAAUUAAGUUUAUAGUAAUCCAUCCAUAAUCAUGUCAUGUGCUUCAUUAAAAAAUCUACGGUUAAUUUGUCAUGCGUAAGCAGCAGAGACUCUGAUUUUGUUUCUAUGCCAAUAUAUAUUCGAAAAAUGCAGGGUAAGAAAUUAGAAACCAAAUUUGUUUGAAGAGCAACGAUAUAUCCAUAUUCAGAUCUAAAUCUCAACCAUGUAUGAAUGAAAAGAGAUCCGAUUGAAGUUAGACUGAUGAUGAUGAUUGAUCACAUUUAGAGAAAAGAAGACCUAAAAUCCAUAGUUAUUAUUCCCAAAUCCAGAUCUGGAAUCUGGGAAACCCCCUUAGGUCGAAGGAGCGGCGGAUCCAUUGCUGUUGAGGAGAGAAGACGACGUCAUCAUCUUCUGAAACUCUUCGAAAUUGACAUUCCCAUCGCCGUCGGCAUCCACAGGUCCGAUCAUACGAGUACAAUCUUCAACAGAGCAAGACAUCCCGAGACGGUUAAGAACCUGGUGAAGCUCAGCGGCGGAGAUCAGUCCGUUUUUGUCCUGAUCGUAUAGAUCGAAAGCGUCACGGAUCUCUGCGGCGGAGGAAGACGAGCGGCAGAGAGUUGAGAACUCGUCGAGGUUGAUGUAACCGUCGCGAUCUGUAUCGACUUCUUCCAGAACGCGGUUGAGUUCCGUCUCCGUGUAGGAAGUCCCCAUAGCCUUAAACACACCGCCGAGUUCGAGGACUGAGAUCUUGCCGUCACCGUUGGAGUCAAAC
rnacentral:lncRNA from 1 species